CGGUUAGUAAGGUGGGCAGUUUAAUGGCGGAGGAGCAGUGUUGGUCUGGAGGGGUUGCACUGAUUCCUGGGGAAUGUUAUGUGUGCGUAAAUGACAAGAAACCACACACCCACACACAUACACACCUAUGUACACCUGCUGUGUUUACAGCCCCAGAAAUUGAGUGUUAACAAUAAAGUGCCUCAAACGGACCCACAAGCUCCCUUCUUCUUUCCUACUCUGGGACAACUUGGCCUUAAGUGGUGUUCUGGCCGACACACCGGGGUGACCGUAGUGCUUAAAGUCUGAAUCAGUGCCACAGCCGUGCCCAUCUUUGAUAUCUCCACUACAUUUAAUGGUCCUUCGAGCCGGAUUGCACUAGGCUUGCCUCAGAGAUGGAAUCAGUCCCAGAGUAUGAGGCUCGCGGCGCACGCCCCAAACGACAUGCUCGCCCUCCUGGGCGCUACGCAGAUUAUGAGGUGGAGUACCCAGGCUACAUUAGCCAGGCACAUAGAGAGGAUGUAGAGCUCACACACCAAGAGGACAAGGCCAGGAUGACCUCCCUCGCUUCCCCCUUUAGCUACAACCUAGCCAGCCCUCAGUGGAGGCGGGAUGCUAUUCUCCAGGAGACGGCCUCGCGCUAUGGAGCUCAGAGCCAACAGCACAUCCAGGAGAAUCAGCUAGCCCCCCAGCUGUAUCCAGAGAGAAGUCGUGGGGAACAAGCCUACGAUCACUCUACUCCUCUACCCUUUGUGCUCCCCUAUACACAUCCAAAUAAGGAAAUAGGUGCAGAGUUAGAGGACAUCCGUCAGGAGCGCCACCUCAACCAGCAGACCCAGCAGCGUAUGUCAUCAGAUCUGGUCGAACUCAAGGCACUGCGAGCAGAAAUGAGACAGUUAGUGGAAGCUGUCCAGAGCAUGCAGGGCCCAUCUUCUGUCCGAACCAGUAAAUUAAUGCAGUCACCGCUACCGGGUGAUGCAGCAGAGAUUGAGGAGGAUGAUGACUGGCCUGCUCCACCACCGUGGCCAGAUCCAGUUGAGGAAGCACCACUGCCUAGUGACCCACCAGCGUUGAACCCCCAUCACAUAAAUGCAUGUGUUUUUCCAGCCAUUAAGACAGAGGCAAUGGCAAUCCCACCUGCUAAUAAGUUUGUGGACCACCCAGGACAGAGUCUGUCACCAGAUCCUCCCCCUGCUCCCAGGUUUCCAGAUAAAGCCUCCCAUAAUCCACCUCCUUGGUUUAAGCCGGUUUAUCUUCCACCUCGCUCAGGCAAUUUCCCACUGGGAGGGUCCAAGCAUCCGCGCGCCACCUAUGGGGACGGUAAGACUGAGCAUGACUGUAAUCCAGCCUCCACUGAGCAGCAGUUCAAUCUGUCCUCUACACAGCCACUGCCGGACAGACCGAAUCUGGGCAGGGCUUCUAUCGCCUCAGAGACAGUUUACCGUGGUCCCCGCCCAACAAUUCCCAACUUCUCAAGUCUCCGCGCGUGGGACUAAUAAAGAGGCGGCGGUGAGAGGGGAAACCUCGGCUCACCCAGCUGGAGAGACUGACCAGGAAGAGUCGAACAUUAACUCUGCUCUUCCAGGGCACCCUGCAGACUCGGCUGCUGGCAUUGGUGAGGGAGUGCGGCCGCCGCUGUGAUGACGCCAAACUGGAGUCCAUCAUAGGUCGACUGCAGCUCCUUGUCUAAGAGUGGGAGGGAUUUGAAGCACAAAGGGAGGAGCUUGUCGUUUGGUUGGCUGAUAUGGAUGUCCACCUGAGUGCGGUUGACCAGCUGACAGGAAACACAUGUGAAAAACUGAAACAACUGCAGAUCUACAGAUUUGGGAUAAGCUACAGGCUCCUCCACCCCUGCUGGCUCUUCUGUCCUGCCCAGGUUGGCGCUCCUGGUGCCCCCUCGUCAGGUCCAGCAGUCCUACCGUCCAUCCAACAGCUCCUUCUCCCCUCUUACAGCCUCUAUGGGAGCUCCAUCUGUGGUGGCUACAGGCCUUACAGCUACAGCUAUGGUGGCGGCUAUGGUGGUGGCUACAGCCUGGGAGGAUACAGACACACACCUCACCUUGAAGACGUCCCCCCCAGCAGACACUAACUGGGCGAGCGAGGAGGACGACCACGUGGUGGCCAGAGGAGAAUAUGACUUGACAGCUGCUUCUCAGGAGGAGCUUUCUAUGCGAGCUGGAGAGAUGCUCAACCUCGCUCCUAAAGAGCUACAGCCCCGUGUGCGUGGCUGGCUCCUGGCCAGUGUGGACGGUGAGACCACAUGCUCGUCCCAGCCAACUACGUUAAGAUCCUCAGCAAGAGAAGAGACCGCCGGGCCACAGAUAUGAGAGGCUCGCUCAGGCCCAGCAGGCAAACACGCAGGCACCCCAAACAACCUCGUCUGCACAAAUACCCUAAUCUGUGCCUCUCCUGCAGCCCAUAAACGUACAGCAUCUACCCACAUCAUGUACAGUACUUGAAUGAUCCAUCUCGUCUUUCAGCUCAGUCUCGUCAGAUUCAUUAGGCUCAGCUGUGUCCCCCUCCUGUGUGCAGUUUCCUCGUUUCCCUCUGUGUGUAUUUAUAGUAGUGAUGGCCAAACAAAGCUUUCUGAAGCAUUGAAGCUUGUGUUGAAAAACGAUUCAUUACUGGAAGCUUUUUAACACAGUCCUCUCUGGUGACAUCUGGUGGUCAAAAAUAUGAAGAGCAGCUUGAAUCUACAAAAAAACUGAACUGCGUCAUUAUGAUUGCCCACUCUACACAGUGGAAUUCACAAUUCACAAUUGGACAUCACUGAUCACGUGACUGUGGCCAAACGAAUCAAGCAUCGACAGAGUGCUUCUGAAGCGGUGUGUUGGUGUUUUUUGACACACGCGCCGGAGCGUCAGCUUCAAGCGGGCCCUCACUAAUUUAUAGCAUUUGUCCUCUUGUGUGUGUUACUGGUCCGUCUGUGCUCCUCCAUGCUGUUUUUCCUGCUUGUCAUCCUUCGUGUUUUAACUCCAUUCCCUCGUGUCCAGGUUUGUUAUUUGGUUCUCAGCUUUCCCAGUUUAGGUUUUCUUAGUUUUGUUUCUCGCCUCCCUCGCCUUUGUUUGUAUGUCACUCUCCAUGAAUAAAGCUCACUCACAUCA